rnacentral:sRNA from 1 species
CAAAAACGAACAGCAGGGCCCUCUUCGAAGCGGAGGGCCCUGCUGUUCGUUUUUG